rfam:Gillisia limnaea DSM 15749 genomic scaffold Gilliscaffold_2, whole genome shotgun sequence.
GAUUAUCGAAGGACAGUGACCUUAAUUCAUAAUC